GACGAACGCUGGCGGCGUGCUUAACACAUGCAAGUCGAACGGAAAGGCCCUGCUUUUGUGGGGUGCUCGAGUGGCGAACGGGUGAGUAACACGUGAGUAACCUGCCCUUGUCUUUGGGAUAACUUCAGGAAACUGGGGCUCAUACCGGAUAUGAGCUCCUGCUGCAUGGUGGGGGUUGGAAAGUUUCGGCGGUUGGGGAUGGACUCGCGGCUUAUCAGCUUGUUGGUGGGGUAGUGGCUUACCAAGGCUUUGACGGGUAGCCGGCCUGAGAGGGUGACCGGCCACAAUGGGACUGAGAUACGGCCCAGACUCCUACGGGAGGCAGCAGUGGGGAAUAUGGCACAAUGGGCGGAAGCCUGAUGCAGCAACGCCGCGUGCGGGAUGACGGCCUUCGGGUUGUAAACCGCUUUCGCCUGUGACGAAGCGUGAGUGACGGUAAUGGGUAAAGAAGCACCGGCUAACUACGUG
rnacentral:rRNA from 1 species